rnacentral:misc_RNA from 1 species
AAAAAUGUUUACACAUGGAGAUCCAGGAUGAUGUCCAAACUAACAGCUGUAGAUAAAAGCAUGGUGUCUGGGAGACUGAGUGGUCUGUUGACCUACUCCAACUUUGUACAUGCUGUGUCAGGAGCCACGGGCAGUGUGAUUGCCAUGGCAGUUUUUUACCCCCUGGAAACUGUCAGAACAAGAUUACAAGUUCAUGUAGGCCGUCAAGCCAAACAUGCACCAGUGGAAGCCUUGGACAUAGUGAAAGAAGAGGGCAUAUCCUCCCUAUACCAGGGCCUCUUUCCUGUGCUGGUCACGCUCUGCUGCUCAAACUUUGUGUACUUCUACACAUACAAUGGUCUGAAAACCACCUUACUGGAGGAGGGGAGCAAGCCAGGCCCUGUCAAAGACCUACUGAUGGCCUUCGUGUCCGGUGUCAUAAAUGUUGUGAUCACAAAUCCUCUCUGGGUUGUCAACACAAGGAUAAAAAUCCAGGGACUGAAAUGUGGCACUGAGAAACAGAAAACAACACCCACCCCUCUUUACAGGGGGAUCAUUGAUGGUUUGUGUAAGAUCGCAUCACAAGAAGGUCUUUCAGCCCUCUGGAAUGGAACGGCAGCAUCCAUAAUCCUGGCCUCCAAUCCAUCCAUACAGUUCAUGGUGUAUGAAACAAUCAAACGAUACUGUCAGCAGUUUUUCAAAUCAAAAGCAAGUACAACCAUUACAGUUUAUUGUUCCAGUUGUUCUAUUCAAAGCAGAUUUACAAGUAUCACUUGGUAUUUAAUUCAUGCAAGUUAUUUUUUGUUUUCAAACAAAUAGGAACUUAGUGGCUUUUUAUACUUUAUCAUUGGUGCAAUAUCAAAGAUGGUGGCUACUGUUGCAACAUACCCUUUACAAAUUUUGCAGUCUCGUUUUAGGGUAAGCUUGUGGUGAUGAAAUGGAAUUUACGUUAAAAAUUGACAAGAGAAUAAGUUCAGAUAUUUUCUGCAGAAAUUUAUGUCUUGUGGGGAUAAAUAAUAUCUUGUCAUUUUUAGCUGUUAAUGCCAUGUAAUUAGGACCAUAUAUGAUGCAUUUUAAAAUUUUUGUUUUAAGGCUGGAAGUAAAAAGUCAGAUCAUUCCAAGAAGAUCACACAAAGUUUGCUGAAUAUUAUCAGAUCGGAGGGCUUCCUGGGACUAUACAGAGGUAUGGAGGCCAAACUAGUGCAAACAGUACUGACGGCCGCCCUCAUGUUCCUUUGUUAUGAAAAGAUUGCGGCAUUCAUCUUCAGAAUCAUGGGGAUAAAAACAUGACAAUAUCAAGAGAAUCAUGCUUCCUGACUUUAAACAUUUUAGGUUGAAAGUGAUUCUUUUCUGUUAUGUUGCCAUACCUUUAACAAACGCCAUUUAUAUAUACACUUUUAUUUUUUACAUUAUGUGUUAAAUUUUGUUACAGCUUGUAUUGCUUUAAAAACUCCUGAUUUUAUUAUAUUAAAAUUGAUUUUAAUUUU